rnacentral:tRNA from 1 species
GGUUCCAUAGUGUAGCGGUUAUCACUUCGGAUUCUGAGGCCUUCCGACAACCCCGGUUCGAGUCCGGGUGGGACCU